rnacentral:rRNA from 1 species
UACGGAGGGGGCUAGCGUUGUUCGGAAUUACUGGGCGUAAAGCGCACGUAGGCGGAUCAGUCAGUUAGGGGUGAAAUCCCAGGGCUCAACCCUGGAACUGCCUUUAAUACUGCUGGUCUGGAGUCCGAGAGAGGUGAGUGGAAUUCCGAGUGUAGAGGUGAAAUUCAUAGAUAUCGAGAGGAACACCUGUGGCGAAGGCGGCCAACUGGACGAAUACUGACGCUGAGACACGAAAGCGUGGGGAGCAAACAGG